ACACAAUUCCUAUCCCAUAUAUAGCUCUCCGUUAAUUAUUACUGUUAUAUUUUUUUACUAUCUUUCUUAACUAACUUUUGUGAUUUCAUGAUCCAUUGAGAUUUCAUGAUCCAUUGAUACAUGCGCACAAAUCACAAAUAUUUGGCAUAUAUGUACACAUGUUUGCUCUAGCUCUGUGAUCUUAUAUAUACUGCAUUUGUACAUUAGGAGUUUAUUUAUCUAUGGAGAAGGUUAUUCAUCAUUUUUGCCAUGAACAUCCUUUAUUUCUCACUAAACAACACGAUGAGGAGACUUUAAAUUGUUACGUAUGUGGUAAUGUUGUGACUAAUUGUGAGUUAGAAUAUACUUGCAAAGAACCUCAUUAUAAUAGUAAUAGUCGAAUUAUCAUCCAUAAAAUGUGUGGAGAGUUACCUCGUCGAAUACAUUCUCAUCCCUCACACCCUGAUCAUCCUCUUUACCUAUGUGAUUAUAGACUUAUGCCUAAAGGAUACUUCUGUAAUCCUUGUCGUUACAUAAUAGGCAGCAAGUUAGGAUAUAGGUGCCCUAUUUGUGAAUUUGACACUCGUGUAGAAUGCAUCAAAUUAGGGUUGUUGGAGGAGAGAAAGGAGCUGCAACACCUGAGCCACAUCCAUCCGUUGACACUGAUGAGAAAACACACCUUUCCGUUUAGCUGUGAUGGUUGUGGCACUGAAGAUGUGGACAUGGCGUACAUAUGCAUCAUGUGUGAAUAUUGGGUGCACGCGAGCUGUGCCUCGUUGCCUAUCCUUCUCCCACAAGAUCGCCACCAACACAAACACCAACUUUCUCUAGCCUUUUGUUUCCCAAUGGAACAUCGCAGAUACAUAUACAAUUGUGACGUUUGUGAUAAAGAGUUUGACAUGGCAUGUUGGCUCUAUUUCUGUGGUGAUUGCAGAUACUUUGCCCAUCUCAAAUGCGUUGGAUCCGUCACUGACUCAGACCAAACAAGACAUUUUAAGAUGACAAGGGCAAAGCAUUAGCGAAUGAUGCGCUCAGCUGCCGGCGACUGUAAGAAAGGCCGAGUGGGAUCACCACCCAUUGCUAUUCACAUUAGAUGCCUCUACAGACCAUCUUCUGCGAGUUUUGCGAAAGGGAAAUGCAUCCAAAGAAACCCAUGUAUCACUGCGAUCAGUCUUACCACUUUCAUUGUCUUCAGACUGGAUCUGUAACACCCAAAAUUUAAGCUACCAAAACAAGAGGAACUCGAUCCGACGAUGAAAACGAUCAAGAAAAAUGAUUGUUGAAGGAGAAUGGGAUGUUUAGAUGAUGACAAGUUGAGGAAUGCAUCUUUGGAAUUUUUAGGUUACCUUUUGGUUGCUGUAUUUGAGCAUGGAUGAAGGUUUCUAAAACGGCAGCGUUUAGGGAGGAAAGAAUGAGCUUUUGCAAUCACAUUUAGUCCCAUUAAAAAUGGACGUAUUCCUUUUUAGACAUGGCAGCAGACGUGGCGAUGCUCGUGGCGGCGGUCGUGGUGGGGGACGUGGAGAUCUCCCAAACGAAAAGGUUGCACGACAGUGUGAUCUGCGAGACAUCGAAAACGAUGAUCUGCAACAACAGGUUCGAGACCUACAACGACAUUGGCGCGACUGGAUGAGCGUUGGGGGAAAUCCAACCCGAUGAGGUCUAAUGCGUUGGAGCGUCGUCCGAUGGACGAUACAUUAUUUAGCGACGUCUUCACAUCAUCUGAUGCGGAUGAGUCGUCGAAGAAUAGUAAUAGCAAUAUAUUUUCGAUACCGGUGUAUGAUAUGCCUGUAUACGACUAGGAUAUAUUCUAUGAGCUCCCCGAACCACCGAAGAAUAGUAACAACAAUAUAUUGUCGAUACAUGUAUAUGAUAAUCCCGUAUACGACGAGGAUAUAUUGUCGAUGCAGGCAUAUGAUAAGCCCGUAUACGACGAGGAUAUAUUCUAUAAGCUCCCCGGAUUGAUGAGCAAAUCUCCGCCUCCUUCCGUGAAAUUUGACGACGAUGCCGAGGAAGAGGGCGUUGCCGUCUAUGACGAUGAGGUGUACGACGAGGCAUCAACGACUGGAGCCACAGGAUGGUUGAGAGGAAUAGUAAAAGCUAUUCCAUCUGGUGACUGCUAGGUGAUAAUGGGUUCCCCCAGGGAAGACAACUACUGUGUCUUCUCUAAUGGCUCAUGCAUUGGAUCCCCGAAGGGGUGGGCUCGAUGAACCAUUUCCAUGGCUGAGCAGAGAAUUCAUGAGGAAGCUUUGUAUUGGAAAGGAGGUCACUUUUAGAGUGGAUUAUACUGUACCAUUCAUUAAUCGGGAGUUUGGGUAUGUUUUCCUUUGGGAUAAGAAUGUGGCUUUGCUUGUGGUUAGCGACCCCGAUAAUUUUGAUGCUACGGCUCUAUUGGCUGCUAAGAAGGGCAGUCCUUUUCUUUUGUACAAUAUAAGGAGGUUGGUUGUAGAAGGCAAUGGUGGUGGAUUUGGGAGUGAGAAGAGGAGAAGGCCGUAGGGUUCGAAAGAUAUUGGAAGUUAAUCAUAAUAAAAAGAGGAAAAAUAUAAGACAGUUUGAAAAAUUGGGCAGAAUGGGAUGAUGGCAUUAUGACUGAUGUAGUUGGAGAAAUUUUGAUUCGGUUAAGAUGCUAUUUCAAUAAACCAAACUCAAGGAGGAGUUUUUUUCCAAGAAAGGUAGUAUGAUGUAGUUCUAGAAUAUGACUUAUAGUUUAGAUUUUUUAUAUUUCAUAGUUAGUAGAAUUAGUAGAUGAA